UUUAAUUCGAAUCUUGAUAAUCUCCAGCACCCACAUGGCAGCUCAGAACUGUGUAAUUGCUGUUUCAGGGGCUCGGGUGCCUCUUCUGGACUCCAAGGGCAAUGCAUACUUUGGUACACAGACAUAAGCAGGCAACCCCCCCUCCCCAUAAAUCUGAAAAAUAUUCCACAUGACCGUCCUAGUUUGCUUCUACUGCUAUGAUAAAGACCAUGACCAAAAGCGUUUAUCCCGCCUUAACUCCCAGGUCAUAAUCCAGCACUGAAGGAAGUAAGGGCACCAACUGAAGAAGACCAUGGGCUUGCUGCUUCCCGGGUUGCUGUCCAGCUCUAACCUGCUGUCUGAGACGACACUGGACCAUUUGCCCAAGGGUAGCACCCUCCACAGAUAACCAACACUGACCGGGAUCUACGCAGCAAAGGAAAAGGCAUCAUUAGCUACCAACACUCUGACUGGGAUCUACGCAGCAAAGGAAAAGGCAUCAUUAGCUACAGCCUGAGAGACAGUCCCGGAUGCUCCAGGUACUGUUGGACUCUUGCAGGCAGGCUCCUGCAGAUUGGCACCCGAACAGGGACCUGGGAUACGCGGAAGCAGUGAAGGACACCGCAGUGUUUAGGAGCUUGGAUCAAAGAGGCGCGGUCAAAACAAAGCAACUAGCCACAAUGUUGAGCAAGGAGAGGAGCCAGAGGGCAGGAAAUGAAUUGGAGGAAAAAAGGUUGAGAGAGAGCUAGGAGAGAGACUUGGAGGACAGAUCUUGGAACUACGUGGAGAUGGACAUAAUAUUUCACAAAAAGCAAGUAUAAUGGGUAAAAUCUAAAUGUUAGGAAACUCUGAGGGCUUGGAGGCUUAGGAGGAAGUAAGUAUUGCCCAGCAUUGUGUUCUAGGUUAACUAAAUAAACCCAGUCUCUGUGUGGUGAUUUGGUUAUAC
rnacentral:lncRNA from 1 species